rnacentral:rRNA from 1 species
CGUAGGGUGCGAGCGUUAAAUCGGAAUUACUGGGCGUAAAAGCGUGCGCAGGCGGUGAUGUAAGACAGAUGUGAAAAUCCCCGGGCUCAACCUGGGACCUGCAUUUGUGACUGCAUCGCUGGAGUGCGGCAGAGGGGGGAUGGAAUUCCGCGUGUAGCAGUGAAAUGCGUAGAUAUGCGGAGGAACACCGAUGGCGAAGGCAAUCCCUGGGCCUGCACUGACGCUCAUGCACGAAAGCGUGGGGAGCAAACAGGAUU